rnacentral:rRNA from 1 species
AACGAACGCUGGCGGCAUGCCUAACACAUGCAAGUCGAACGAAGGCUUCGGCCUUAGUGGCGCACGGGUGCGUAACGCGUGGGAAUCUGCCCUUUGGUUCGGAAUAACAGCUGGAAACGGCUGCUAAUACCGGAUGAUGACGAAAGUCCAAGGAUUUAUCGCCAGAGGAUGAGCCCGCGUUGGAUUAGGUAGUUGGUGGGGUAAAGGCCUACCAAGCCGACGAUCCAUAGCUGGUCUGAGAGGAUGAUCAGCCACACUGGGACUGAGACACGGCCCAGACUCCUACGGGAGGCAGCAGUGGGGAAUAUUGGACAAUGGGCGCAAGCCUGAUCCAGCAAUGCCGCGUGAGUGAUGAAGGCCCUAGGGUUGUAAAGCUCUUUUACCCGGGAAGAUAAUGACUGUACCGGGAGAAUAAGCCCCGGCUAACUCCGUG